rnacentral:misc_RNA from 1 species
CGAAGAAGAAAAAGAAGAAGAAGAAAGAGUGGCCACGGAAAAAUCGGAUUUUUCCGUGUUUUCCGUGGCCACUCUUUCUUCUUCUUUUUCUUCU